CUGUGUCUCUGAAUGAUGAAUGAAUAAAUGAUGUUCAGCUGUGGUGAGGAUUUGGAGGCCACACCCUUGCCUUUAUCCCUUUCCACUUCUCAUCAAAGAGAACUACCAGUGGGUAGCAUUUCCCUCCCCAAAAACACCGAGACUAAAGGACCAAGAUUAAGCAAGUUGCUUAACCUUUAAGCCCAUUUCUUAGUAUAAGCAUUGCAAUGCCAAAGAAUAUUAAUUCCACUUUAAACAUUAUUUGUUAAAUGUGUGCAAGUUCCUCUGAAAAUACAGCUGAAAAAUCUGUAAAGACUUUGGAGGUUUUAAGGUUACAGCUUUAAGUUAAUAAAAAUGCAAAUAAAAUUGCAGCUGAUCAAAGGGAAAAGCAAUAUCUACUAAUAUUGAAUAUUGAUUUAUAUUAAGCAGUUCGAACUAUUCAAGUGUCAGCUCAGGAUGGCUGUCACUCCACUUUUUGAUUUCCACUAAAACCUUCCUUGUCUCUGUUCAGGAUGGUUUAAAAUACUGAGCACUUCCGUUGCAGAUCUUUAUUUUUCAUUGAUGAAAAGUUCCAAGGCCUGCAAUCCAGUGUGUGCAAAUCUUAGCACAGAGCUCUUUACCCUGAAUUAUUUUAUAAGAAUUUGAAUGAAAACAAAUAAAAGUUCCCAGAAGGAAGUUGAACACUGUCUACACAAUCAGGAGAAUGUUAAUUCUCCCUCUGUAAAUAUUUUUAUUAGUUAUAUUUAACAUUUAAUGUAAAACUUGUUAGAAAUAAAUGUCAAAGACAUACUGCUGCAUUAUAACCACUGAAUGGUUAUUGGAGCAGCUUGGAGAUCAGCUCAAGUGCAACAUAUACUUGAGUGCUUUAUUAUUUGUGGAUUAGAUUUUCCUACAACUUUUUUUAUUUAAUUCUUUUUCAACUCAUUGUGCAAGUGAUGGCACAAACAAUUCAUAUCAUGUUAAUUGCUUUACAAGUGUUCCAAAAGUGAGAUUAACUCAGUAACUCCUGAACUGGAAUUUUUAAAAAAUAUAAUGCAAGACCCUCUAACUGCCAGAAGCAGAAACUAGAUUUUGUGGUGACUGUUUCAGGAUGGAUAAGAAGAGUUAUUUUGCCAUAACAUUUUUGUCAUGAGCUUGACCUUACACUCCAAAGGCUAAGCUCACUGGCAUAAGUUCCAUUUUGCAGCAUCUAUCCAAAAUAGAAUCAUGCAGUGCUAUCAUGGUUGGCAAUUAUUGCUUAUCCCUCGUUGCCUUGAGUGAACUUUCUAAGCCAUACUAGAAGAGCAGUUAAGAAUUUGAGAUUGAUACUAAUGAGGAAAUACCUGGUGUAUUCCAUUAUUUGAGGUUUUAUAGAAGCUCUGAACUGUUGUGUUGGAUAAUGAAACCUGCUCUCCAUAAUAGCGUUGAUGAAGAAUUUGUUAGUGGAAUUACAAAGGUAUACUCUGGUUGACUAGUAAUACAAAAUUAUAACUGAUCAAGUAGAAAUGUAAAAUCUAUUCCUCUUGAAUAUUCAUUGUAUUAAGAGGUGUUAGAACUAUUCAAAUAGGAGUUAGCAAAACACCAAUGACGCAAGGACAGUUCUCCCAUUGAUUCUUACACAAUUUCAUUUUGGAAAGUCCUGGGUUUCCACUAAGCAUGUUCUUCCAUUUGGGUAGAUAGUUUUCUGGAAUUAUGGCAGAAACCUCUGACAUCCACCAGUCAACUGAGGAA